rnacentral:lncRNA from 1 species
AGAGAGAGAGAGAUCUUCCCAUUUUCUUCCGAGUGAUAGAUAAACCUCCAAAGAUCCUUGAACUCAGAAAGCCUAAUGGUUGGUGGCUGCCGUUCCGGCUUCCCCUCCAAACCCUAAUUCCCGUCUCUCAACAAGCAAAGCUGCAUAUAUAGAAGAAAAGAGAGAAACAAGCACAGCCUUCAUAAAAAAAACCUUCUAAGAAUGCAAAGAAAAAGGAGAGAGUACAGGAUAAGCCAGGAAAUAGAGAUUCUUUCCAUUCUAAAACACUUUUGGAAACCCUAUACUCCAACAGAACCUAUUCUUAUAAUACUCUUCAUCUUAUACAAGGCAAACUCCAGAAAGUUUUAAACCUUCAGGGCGCACCUCCAAUAAUUCUUAUAAAACCAUCUACAGCAUGCAGGAUAGCCGAAAAGAGAGAGAUUACUGAAAGGAAAGAAAGCAGAAAGGGAGAGAAUAUAAACACAGAAGACACAUACCACGUGCCUGCCCAAAACAACAAGGAGGUAAAACAAAGACAACACAAUCCACAGUAACCAAAUCAAAGACAGAAGAAUAAGAGACUUUUUUUUC